rnacentral:rRNA from 1 species
UCGCGGCCUAUCAGCUUGUUGGUGAGGUAAAGGCUCACCAAGGCGACGACGGGUAGCCGGCCUGAGAGGGUGACCGGCCACACUGGAACUGAGACACGGUCCAGACUCCUACGGGAGGCAGCAGUGGGGAAUAUUGCACAAUGGGCGCAAGCCUGAUGCAGCAACGCCGCGUGAGGGAUGAAGGCCUUCGGGUUGUAAACCUCUUUUAGCAGGGAAGAAGCGAAAGUGACGGUACCUGCAGAAAAAGCACCGGCUAACUACGUGCCAGCAGCCGCGGUAAUACGUAGGGUGCAAGCGUUGUCCGGAAUUAUUGGGCGUAAAGAGCUCGUAGGCGGUUUGUCGCGUCUGCUGUGAAAACUGGAAGCUCAACUUCCAGCCUGCAGUGGGUACGGGCAGACUAGAGUGCGGUAGGGGAGAACGGAAUUCCUGGUGUAGCGGUGGAAUGCGCAGAUAUCAGGAGGAACACCGAUGGCGAAGGCAGUUCUCUGGGCCGUUACUGACGCUGAGGAGCGAAAGCGUGGGGAGCGAACAGGAUUAGAUACCCUGGUAGUCCACGCCGUAAACGGUGGGUGCUAGCUGUGGGCCACAUUCCACGUGGUCCGUGACGAAGUUAACACAUUAAGCACCCCGCCUGGGGAGUACGG